GAAGCUGCGGAAACGGCUAAUGGCUCCCCUCCGAAGGCAGAGGUCACACGUUCGAAUCGUGUCGGGUGCGCCA
rnacentral:tRNA from 1 species